CCUACGGGAGGCUGCAGUGAGGAAUAUUGGUCAAUGGACGCAAGUCUGAACCAGCCAUGUCGCGUGCAGGAAGACGGCUCUAUGAGUUGUAAACUGCUUUUGUACGAGGGUAAAUCCCGAUACGUGUAUCGGGUUGAAAGUAUCGUACGAAUAAGGAUCGGCUAACUCCGUGCCAGCGGCCGCGGUAAUACGGAGGGUGCGAGCGUUAAUCGGAAUUACUGGGCGUAAAGCGCUCGUAGGCGGUAUGUCAAGUCAAGGGUGAAAUCCCCGCGCUCAACGUGGGAACUGCCUUUGAAACUGGCAAACUGGAGUGUGUGAGAGGAUAGUGGAAUUCCAGGUGUAGGAGUGAAAUCCGUAGAUAUCUGGAGGAACAUCAGUGGCGAAGGCGACUAUCUGGCACAUAACUGACGCUGAGGAGCGAAAGCGUGGGUAGCAAACAGGAUUAGAUACCCGAGUAGUC
rnacentral:rRNA from 1 species